CAGCGGACAUCUGUCUUUCACGAUGGUUAGGCCAGGCUGAUCAAAUCCAGCCCAGAUCAGAUAAAUUUACAGCGCUAAGAGAAUCGCAUUAAUCCAUGAUCCCGGGGCCUCCAUUGAAUUGAACUGCGAAAUAGUUAAGCCAGCCGGCCCAUGGAGGCCAGCGAACCGGAGUACUCCUGCGGCACGAGCACAACCUCUUCCGCCACCGUUCCGGCUUCAUAUUCCGGCAGUUGAAGCCCAUGGCUAUCAGGGAGACGAAGGAAAGCUGAAUAAAUCAAUGAUUCACGGACAGUUACUUGAGGAGGCAUGUCCACAAAAUAAUUGACGUUGUCGAAUGACAUGGCAAGUGGGGUGAAUGGAAGAACCAUUCCUCUCUUGGGAGCAACACCACUUGCUGCCUCAAGACUUGUAUCUUCUUUUCUACUGCUCAAAUUUCUACUUGGUUGGGUGUGCACGGGCAGGACAGCCAUUUCUCCUGAAAGCGUUACAUAAAGGCAUCCUUUUAUACUAACCUUUAGGAAGAAUGAAACCACCCAAGAGAAAAACAAGGAGAAGAGCUAGAGUUCCUCCAGUGUUUGCAAUUAUCAUUGUUCUGCAGGCUGCUGCAAUUAGCCGAAAUAACCCAGCAGCCAUCUGCUGAGUCAGAAAUAUUAAUAGUAGCUGUUUGAAGAACCUGGAAAUGGAAGGAAGCACCAAACAGUUAAGUUUAUUGCACGUGCUUAGGAAAUCAGCAGUUCCUUUUCUCUCUGGACAUCUGAACCCGCAGCUCUCGAAGAAUUCUAGGACAUGCACUCUUGGACCCUGAUAUACAAUUUGGCCUUCUGACAAGAGAAUGAUAUCAUCAAAUAGGUCAUAAGUCUCUGGAGCAGGUUGUAGGAGGGACAUUAGAACGGUAGCCUCUGUCAAGUGGACAAUCUGUUGUAAGCACUUCACAAUUUGAAAGGUUGUGGAGCUGUCUAGACCUGUUGAUAUCUCAUCCAUAAACAGUGUCUUGGUUGGCCCGACGAUCAUCUCUCCUGUUUAAGGAAGGGAAGAACAGAGAACAGUUAAGACACUAUUUUUACAGCUGAGGGAAAUGUCAAUAACCUUCUAAUGAAGCCAGUUAUCGUAGCUGCGUUCGAAGAAUGAAAAAGGAAGAUUAACGAGGCUUUCUAGCACUGCAUCACAUCUAUUAUGGUCAAAUAGAAAUUGAUAUUACUCAUUAGUUUAACCUUGCAUUCACGAGGAACUAUUUUCCAAAAUGUCUUCAUCCUUUUUCUGCAAAAUUGGCAGGUGGCCACGCCUCUGGGGGCCUGUGAUAAUCCCCUUGGAAGUCAUGGACGCUUCCAUGCUUCCUUAUGUUCCUGAGUCCAUGCCCUUUUAAGUUUAAACCACUUGGACAAAAUUCAUAUUUUCUGCCAUUUUUAUCCAGCUCUAUGUAUUGAUUCUCGUCA